rnacentral:rRNA from 1 species
UGGGGAAUAUUGGACAAUGGGCGCAAGCCUGAUCCAGCCAUGCCGCGUGAGUGAUGAAGGCCCUAGGGUUGUAAAGCUCUUUUACCCGGGAUGAUAAUGACAGUACCGGGAGAAUAAGCCCCGGCUAACUUCGUGCC